rnacentral:tRNA from 1 species
AGAAAAGUAAGCUAAUUAAGCUAAUGGGUUCAUACCCCAUCAAUAGGAUUUGAUCAUUCUCUUCUCUA